rnacentral:rRNA from 1 species
GAUGAACGCUAGCUACAGGCUUAACACAUGCAAGUCGAGGGGAAACGACAUCGAAAGCUUGCUUUUGAUGGGCGUCGACCGGCGCACGGGUGAGUAACGCGUAUCCAACCUGCCCACCACUUGGGGAUAACCUUGCGAAAGUAAGACUAAUACCCAAUGACGUCUCUAGAAGACAUCUGAAAGGGAUUAAAGAUUUAUCGGUGAUGGAUGGGGAUGCGUCUGAUUAGCUUGUUGGCGGGGUAACGGCCCACCAAGGCGACGAUCAGUAGGGGUUCUGAGAGGAAGGUCCCCCACAUUGGAACUGAGACACGGUCCAAAACUCCUACGGGAGGCAGCAGUGAGGAAUAUUGGGUCAAUGGGGCGAGAGCCUGAACCAGCCAAGUAGCGUGCAGGACGACGGCCCUAUGGGUUGUAAACUGCUUUUUCGCGGGGAUAAAGAGGGGGAUGUGUCCCCCGUUGCAGGUACCGCGUGAAUAAGGACCGGCUAAUUCCGUG